AAGACCCUAGAAGCUUUAAUUAACUAAGUAGUUAUGAAAGUAUAUAAUAAUUUUUGCUGGGGUAGUAAUUUUUGUAGUUUAAAUUUUUAAUUAACUAUAUUAUAGGUUAAUGUUCCUAAUAAUUUGGAGAAAAAGGAUUAGUUACUCUAGGGAUAACAGCAUAAUUUUUUUGGAGAGAUCUUAUCUAUAAAAAAGUUUAUGACCUCGAUGUUGAAUU
rnacentral:rRNA from 1 species